rnacentral:rRNA from 1 species
UACGUAGGGUGCGAGCGUUAAUCGGAAUUACUGGGCGUAAAGCGUGCGCAGGCGGCUUCGCAAGUCAGGCGUGAAAUCCCCGGGCUUAACCUGGGAAUGGCGUCUGAAACUACGGAGCUGGAGUGUGGCAGAGGGAGGUAGAAUUCCACGUGUAGCGGUGAAAUGCGUAGAUAUCGGGAGGAACACCUGUGGCGAAAGCGGCUCUCUGGACCACAACUGACGCUGAGGCGCGAAAGCUAGGGGAGCAAACAGG